CUGCUGCCUCCCGUAGGAGUCUGGUCCGUGUCUCAGUACCAGUGUGGGGGGCCUUCCUCUCAGAACCCCUACGCAUCGUCGCCUCGGUGGGCCGUUACCCCGCCGACUAGCUAAUGCGCCGCAUGCCCAUCCGUGGCCGGGAUUGCUCCCUUUGGCGGCCUUGGGAUGUCCCUAGGCCGCGUUACGCGGUAUUAGACGGGGUUUCCCCCGCUUAUCCCCCUGCCACGGGCAGGUUGCAUACGUGUUACUCACCCGUGCGCCGGUCGCCGGCAACCGG
rnacentral:rRNA from 1 species